rnacentral:rRNA from 1 species
UACGAAGGGGGCUAGCGUUGCUCGGAAUCACUGGGCGUAAAGGGUGCGUAGGCGGGUCUUUAAGUCAGGGGUGAAAUCCUGGAGCUCAACUCCAGAACUGCCUUUGAUACUGAGGAUCUUGAGUUCGGGAGAGGGAAGUGGAACUGCGAGUGUAGAGGUGAAAUUCGUAGAUAUUCGCAAGAACACCAGUGGCGAAGGCGGCUCACUGGCCCGAUACUGACGCUGAGGUGCGAAAGCGUGGGGAGCAAACAGG